GACGAACGCUGGCGGCGUGCUUAACACAUGCAAGUCGAACGGAAAGGCCUCUUUCGGGGGGUUCUCGAGUGGCGAACGGGUGAGUAACACGUGAGUAACCUGCCCUUGACUUUGGGAUAACUUCAGGAAACUGGGGCUAAUACCGGAUAGGAGCUCCUGCUGCAUGGUGGGGGUUGGAAAGUUUCGGCGGUUGGGGAUGGACUCGCGGCGUAUCAGCUUGUUGGUGGGGUAGUGGCUUACCAAGGCUUUGACGGGUAGCCGGCCUGAGAGGGUGACCGGCCACAUUGGGACUGAGAUACGGCCCAGACGCCUACGGGAGGCAGCAGUGGGGAAUAUUGCACAAUGGGUGGAAGCCUGAUGCAGCAACGCCGUGUGCGGGAGGACGGCCUUCGGGUUGUAAACCGCUUUCGCUCAUGACGAAGCUUUGUGUGACGGUAGUGGGUAAAGAAGCACCGGCUAACUACGUG
rnacentral:rRNA from 1 species